rnacentral:rRNA from 1 species
UCUUUAAAUUUAAUUAUAUUUAAUUAGAUAUAAUUAAAUUUUUAAUUGGGGUGAUUAUAAAAUUAAUUAAACUUUUAUAAAUUUAAUUCAUAAAUAAGUGAUAAUUUUGAUAUUAAUUAUAAAUAUUUAGAAUAAGU